rnacentral:rRNA from 1 species
UGGGGAAUAUUGCACAAUGGGCGCAAGCCUGAUGCAGCGAUGCCGCGUGUGUGAAGAAGGCCUUCGGGUUGUAAAGCACUUUCAGCGGGGAGGAAGGCGAUAAGGUUAAUAACCUUGUCGAUUGACGUUACCCGCAGAAGAAGCACCGGCUAACUCCGUGCCAGCAGCCGCGGUAAUACGGAGGGUGCAAGCGUUAAUCGGAAUUACUGGCGUAAAGCGCACGCAGGCGGUUGAUUGAGUCAGAUGUGAAAUCCCCGGGCUUAACCCGGGAAUUGCAUCUGAUACUGGUCAGCUAGAGUCUUGUAGAGGGGGGUAGAAUUCCAUGUGUAGCGGUGAAAUGCGUAGAGAUGUGGAGGAAUACCGGUGGCGAAGGCGGCCCCCUGGACAAAGACUGACGCUCAGGUGCGAAAGCGUGGGGAGCAAACAGG